rnacentral:sRNA from 1 species
CCUAAGGCUCAAAAGAAGAGGUAUCUGUUCCGCUCCUUCAAAGCCACCAAAUUCUUUCAGUCCACAAAGCUGGACUGGGUGGAGGUUGGGCUCCAGGUUUGCCGCCAGGGCUACAACAUGCUCAACCUUCUCAUUCACCGCAAAAACCUCAACUACCUGCACCUGGACUACAACUUCAACCUCAAGCCUGUGAAAACGCUCACCACCAAGGAAAGAAAGAAAUCUCGUUUUGGGAAUGCUUUCCACCUAUGUCGGGAAGUGCUGCGUUUGACUAAGCUGGUGGUGGAUAGUCACGUGCAGUAUCGGCUGGGCAAUGUGGAUGCCUUCCAGCUGGCAGAUGGAUUGCAGUAUAUAUUUGCCCAUGUUGGGCAGUUGACGGGCAUGUAUCGAUACAAAUACAAGCUGAUGCGACAGAUUCGCAUGUGCAAGGACCUGAAGCAUCUCAUCUAUUAUCGUUUCAACACGGUGAGACCCUGACUUUACUGACUUUUUUUUUUUGAGACAGAAUCUUACUCUUGUCUCUUGGGCUGGAGUGCAACGG